UUUGUAGAAUGAACCGGCGAGUUACGAUUUGUUGCAAGGUUAAGCGGAAAAAGCGGAGCCGUAGCGAAAGCGAGUCUGAAUAGGGCGCAUAAGUAACAGGUCGUAGACCCGAAACCAGGUGAUCUACCCAUGUCCAGGAUGAAGGUAAGGUAAUACUUACUGGAGGUCCGAACCCACGCACGUUGAAAAGUGCGGGGAUGAGGUGUGGGUAGCGGAGAAAUUCCAAUCGAACUUGGAGAUAGCUGGUUCUCUCCGAAAUAGCUUUAGGGCUAGCCUCGAGGUAAAGAGUCAUGGAGGUAGAGCACUGUUUGGACUAGGGGCCCUUCUCGGGUUACCGAAUUCAGAUAAACUCCGAAUGCCAUGUACUUAUACUCGGGAGUCAGACUGCGAGUGAUAAGAUCCGUAGUCGAAAGGGAAACAGCCCAGACCACCAGUUAAGGUCCCCAAAUAUAUGUUAAGUGGAAAAGGAUGUGGGGUUGCUUAGACAACCAG
rnacentral:rRNA from 1 species